rnacentral:rRNA from 1 species
ACUCCUACGGGAGGCAGCAGUGGGGAAUAUUGGACAAUGGGCGCAAGCCUGAUCCAGCCAUGCCGCGUGAGUGAUGAAGGCCCUAGGGUUGUAAAGCUCUUUCACCGGUGAAGAUAAUGACGGUAACCGGAGAAGAAGCCCCGGCUAACUUCGUGCCAGCAGCCGCGGUAAUACGAAGGGGGCUAGCGUUGUUCGGAUUUACUGGGCGUAAAGCGCACGUAGGCGGACUAUUAAGUCAGGGGUGAAAUCCCGGGGCUCAACCCCGGAACUGCCUUUGAUACUGGUAGUCUUGAGUUCGAGAGAGGUGAGUGGAAUUCCGAGUGUAGAGGUGAAAUUCGUAGAUAUUCGGAGGAACACCAGUGGCGAAGGCGGCUCACUGGCUCGAUACUGACGCUGAGGUGCGAAAGCGUGGGGAGCAAACAGGAUUAGAAACCCGGGUAGUCCCA